rnacentral:rRNA from 1 species
AGAGUUUGAUCAUGGCUCAGAAUGAACGCUGGCGGCGUGCUUAACACAUGCAAGUCGAGCGCGAAAGCACCCUUCGGGGUGUGAGUAGAGCGGCGGACGGGUGAGUAACGCGUGGGUGACCUACCCUUGAGAGGGGGAUAACCCAGGGAAACUUGGGCUAAUACCGCAUACAGCCCCGAUACUGAGGUAUCGGGGUGAAAGGUGGGGACUCUUCGGAGCCUACCGCUCAAGGAGGGGCCCGCGUCCGAUUAGCUAGUUGGCGGGGUAAAGGCCCACCAAGGCGACGAUCGGUAGCCGGCCUGAGAGGGUGAUCGGCCACAAUGGGACUGAGACACGGCCCAUACUCCUACGGGAGGCAGCAGUGGGGAAUAUUGGACAAUGGGGGCAACCCUGAUCCAGCGACGCCGCGUAGGCGAAGAAGCUCUUCGGAGUGUAAAGCCUUGUCACCUGUGACGAAGGCACUGUAUUCGAAUAGGGUACAGUGCUUGACGGUAGCAGGAGAGGAAGCCCCGGCUAACUCCGUGCCAGCAGCCGCGGUAACACGGAGGGGGCGAGCGUUAUUCGGAAUUACUGGGCGUAAAGGGUACGUAGGCGGUCUGUUAAGUGUGGAGUGAAAUGCCUCGGCUCAACCGAGGACUUGCUCUGCAUACUGGCAGGCUUGAGUCCGGGAGAGGCUGGUGGAAUUCCUGGUGUAGGGGUGAAAUCCGUAGAUAUCAGGAGGAACACCGUUGGAGAAGUCGGCCAGCUGGACCGGGACUGACGCUGAGGUACGAAAGCGUGGGGAGCAAACAGGAUUAGA